GACGAACGCUGGCGGCGUGCUUAACACAUGCAAGUCGAACGGAAAGGCCCUGCUUUUGUGGGGUGCUCGAGUGGCGAACGGGUAAGUAACACGUGAGUAACCUGCCCUUGACUUUGGGAUAACUUCAGGAAACUGGGGCUAAUACCGGAUAGGAGCUCCUGCUGCAUGGUGGGGGUUGGAAAGUUUCGGCGGUUGGGGAUGGACUCGCGGCUUAUCAGCUUGUUGGUGGGGUAGUGGCUUACCAAGGCUUUGACGGGUAGCCGGCCUGAGAGGGUGACCGGCCACAUUGGGACUGAGAUACGGCCCAGACUCCUACGGGAGGCAGCAGUGGGGAAUAUUGCACAAUGGGCGGAAGCCUGAUGCAGCAACGCCGCGUGCGGGAUGACGGCCUUCGGGUUGUAAACCGCUUUCGCCUGUGACGAAGCGUGAGUGACGGUAAUGGGUAAAAAAGCACCGGCUAACUACGUG
rnacentral:rRNA from 1 species